AGGCUUUACCAUUGACCGAGAACGGCCACCCGAGGACUCUUGGCUGGUAUUGUGCGAUUCUGCCGAGUCACGCGCAGGUGCUGUACCAGGAUUCUUGUACCCUGUUUAGCCUAUCCCUGAUAAUGGUAUCUAUUUCUGUGCGCAACGAACUGCGCUCCAGAGAAGGCUGAUCAGAAGGCGACGGCCCUCCAUUGUUGGUCCGCUGCGGCGUCAAGCUUAAAUCGGGCGCAGUUAUAGCUACGGAUUCUGUUAUUAAUUGAUCGGUACAACGAACUGGAGAAGCUACAUUAGGAAAAGAUCUUGAAACGAUUCAUCGACCGCCCCGGCCUUCCCUAAGUUUUUAGGUGUGCGGAACAUGUUCUUUUCGCUAUCGGUUUUCGAUCGAGUAUAAUA